AUGUGUGAUGUGCGUCCAUGUUCAUGUGAUCUUCAAGACAGCAGGGACCAAUUGCACCCUUGCUUUUGUUUCUGUCCUGUGAACCAGUCUAAGAUGGCCUCUAAGAAGCACUUGGCUGGAAGGGGAGGUGAUGUGCGCCAGAUAUUUUUGAGUAACUUUUUUCCAAACUAUGUACUAUACAUGUGGAUUUUUUUUUGCGGGGAUACUGCAUGUCCACUUCUGAGUACAAAUUCUAAAUUCGUAUAUGAAACCUUAAUUCAACUCCUACCAUACAAAACUAAUUUUGUGGUUCAGUUGUUUAAGAGCUCAAAUAGGAUGUGUACUGGAACCUCAAGGAAAAUGAAAAGAAGAGUAGGAGCAGGAGCUGGAGACGCAGCCGCACAAGGUCGAACCGGCCACAUAGAUCCUUUUAUUCUGCAACUAUGA
rnacentral:rRNA from 1 species